rnacentral:rRNA from 1 species
UAAUACGGAGGUCCCGAGCGUUGUUCGGAAUUACUGGGCGUAAAGGGGGCGCAGGCGGACAGGUCAGUGGAAAGUGGAAGCCCGGGGCUCAACCCCGGAAAGCCUUUCCAUACUGCUUGUCUUGAGUUCGUGAGAGGAGAGCGGAAUUCAGGGUGUAGCGGUGAAAUGCUUAGAUAUCCUGAGGAACACCAAUGGCGAAAGCAGCUCUCUGGCACGUUACUGACGCUGAGGCCCGAAAGCGUGGGGAGCGAACGGGAUUAGAUACCCCGGUAGUCCACGCCGUAAACGUUGUGCACUAGGUGCAGGAGGUAUCGACCCCUUCUGUGCCGCAGCUAACGCAUUAAGUGCACCGCCUGGGGAGUACGCUCGCAAGAGUG